rnacentral:rRNA from 1 species
UACAGAGGGUGCAAGCGUUGUUCGGAAUUAUUGGGCGUAAAGGGCGCGUAGGCGGCUUCGCAAGUGGAAGGUGAAAUCCCUCGGCUUAACCGAGGAACUGCCCUCCAAACUGCGUUGCUUGAGGCCGGGAGAGGUGAGUGGAAUUCCCAGUGGAGCGGUGAAAUGCGUAGAUAUUGGAAAGAACACCGAUGGCGAAGGCACUUUACUGGGCUAUUACUAACACUCAGAGACGAAAGCUAGGGUAGCAAAUGGG